UACGUAGGGUGCAAGCGUUACUCGGAAUUCCUGGGCGUAAAGCGUGCGCAGGCGGUUAUUUAAGGCAGGUUUGAAAUCCCCGGGCUUAACCUGGGAACUGCAUUUGUGACUGCAUAGCUAGAGUACGGUAGAGGGGGAUGGAAUUCCGCGUGUAGCAGUGAAAUGCGUAGAUAUGCGGAGGAACACCGAUGGCGAAGGCAAUCCCCUGGACCGGUACUGACGCUCAUGCACGAAAGCGUGGGGAGCAAACAGG
rnacentral:rRNA from 1 species